rnacentral:rRNA from 1 species
GACGAAGGAUGCAAGCGUUAUCCGGAUUCAUUGGGUUUAAGGGUGCGUAGGUGGGUUGAUAAGUCAGUGGUGAAAUCCCCGAGCUUAACUUGGGAACUGCCAUUGAUACUAUUGAUCUUGAAUACCGUGGAGGUCAGCGGAAUAUGUCAUGUAGCGGUGAAAUGCUUAGAUAUGACAUAGAACACCAAUUGCGAAGGCAGCUGGCUACGCGAAUAUUGACACUGAUGCACGAAAGCGUGGGGAUCAUACAGG